UUCCCGCGGAAAACGCCGCGCGCUGAUUGGCCGCCCGCAGGGUUCGCUACAGAAUGGUUACACUGCGUUCUGUUCUUAAAGGGGCCGCGUCGGUGCGCCUCGGAAGCUGGGUGGAUGCAGGGUAGCACCAGGAGAUUAAGCGAGCUGUCGAGCUGGAGAGGGGGCCGAGACAGGCUGGGAAAACUACCUGCCCCCAAAAGCUUGCAAAGACACCAGACAGAGCCUAGGACCGCAUGGCAGGACAUCUCUCUCCAAACUGAUGAUAAGCCCCUGACAUGAAGGUUCUCCUGGAUGGCUUCGAGGACAAGGGAGAAAUCAUCACAGGUGGCUUCGGUCAGGUUAGCCAAGUUGCCAUGGGUCCACGGCUCCU